rnacentral:rRNA from 1 species
CGAAGGGGGCGAGCGUUGUUCGGAGUUACUGGGCGUAAAGGGCGCGUAGGCGGCGAUCCAAGUUAGGCGUGAAAGCCCCGGGCUCAACCUGGGAAUUGCGCUUAAGACUGGAUUGCUCGAGUGCGGGAGAGGUGAGUGGAAUUCCCAGUGUAGAGGUGAAAUUCGUAGAUAUUGGGAAGAACACCAGUGGCGAAGGCGGCUCACUGGCCCGCAACUGACGCUGAGGCGCGAAAGCGUGGGGAGCAAACAGGAUUAGAUACCCUGGUAGUCCACGCCGUAAACGAUGAGUGCUAGACGUUGGGGGACUCAGUCCUUUGGUGUCGCAGCUAACGCAUGAAGCACUCCGCCUGGGGAGUACGGCCGCAAGGUUA